rnacentral:piRNA from 1 species
UCCUGUAAACCUCAGAUGGUGAGUGUAAU